rnacentral:misc_RNA from 1 species
UUAAGUUCAGCGGGUAGUCCUACCUGAUUUGAGGUCAGAUUGAGAGAAUUUUGUCCGGAGACGACUGUGAGCCCUUCCUAAAAUCCAAGGCCCCGAACACCGACGCCAGCGAGUUUUUUCAUUAUCACGCCAUUUCGUCUGUGGAGGGACCGAGGCCGGAACGAGGCUAAUGCAUUUCGAGACGAGCCGUCUUAAAAAGA